rnacentral:rRNA from 1 species
AGUUUGAUCAUGGCUCAGAUUGAACGCUGGCGGCAUGCCUUACACAUGCAAGUCGAACGGUAGCGCGGGGUAACCUGGCGACGAGUGGCGAACGGGUGAGUAAUGCAUCGGAACGUGCCCUGGAAUGGGGGAUAACGUAGCGAAAGUUACGCUAAUACCGCAUAUUCUGUGAGCAGGAAAGCAGGGGAUCGCAAGACCUUGCGUUCUGGGAGCGGCCGAUGUCGGAUUAGCUAGUUGGUGGGGUAAAGGCCUACCAAGGCGACGAUCCGUAGCGGGUCUGAGAGGGUGAUCCGCCACACUGGGACUGAGACACGGCCCAGACUCCUACGGGAGGCAGCAGUGGGGAAUUUUGGACAAUGGGCGGAAGCCUGAUCCAGCCAUGCCGCGUGAGUGAAGAAGGCCUUCGGGUUGUAAAGCUCUUUCGGUGGGGAAGAAAUUGCACGGGCUAAUACCCUGUGUAGAUGACGGUACCCGACUAAGAAGCACCGGCUAACUACGUG